rnacentral:misc_RNA from 1 species
GAUGAAGAACGUAGUGAAAUGCGAUACGUAAUGUGAAUUGCAAAUUCAGUGAAUCAUCGAGUCUUUGAACGCACAUUGCGCCCCCUGGUAUUCUGGGGGGCAUGCCUGUCCGAGCGUCAUUGCUGCCCUCAAGCACGGCUUGUGUGUUGGGCCCCGUCCUCCGAUCCCGGGGGACGGGCCCGAAAGGCAGCGGCGGCACCGCGUCCGGUCCUCGAGCGUAUGGGGCUUUGUCACCCGCUCUGUAGGCCCGGCCGGCGCUUGCCGAUCAACCCAAAUUUUUAUCCAGGUUGACCUCGGAUCAGGUAGGGAUACCCGCUGAACUUAAGCAUAUCAAUAAGCGGAGGA